rnacentral:rRNA from 1 species
CAGCUAGUUGGUGAGGUAACGGCUCACCAAGGCGACGAUCGGUAGCUGGUCUGAGAGGAUGAUCAGCCACACUGGGAUUGAGAACGGCCCAGACUCCUACGGGGGGCAGCAGUGAGGAAUUUUCGGCAAUGGGGGCAACCCUGACCGAGCAACGCCGCGUGCAGGAGGACAGCCUUCGGGUUGUAAACUGCUCUUCUGGGGGACGAGCAAGGACGGUACCCCAGGAAGAAGCCCCGGCUAACUACGUGCCAGCAGCCGCGGUAAUACGUAGGGGGCAAGCGUUGUCCGGAGUUACUGGGCGUAAAGCGCACGCAGGCGGUCCACCGCGUAGGGGGUGACAGUCCUCGGCUUAACUGAGGAAGCGCUCUCUAAACGGGUGGACUUGAGGGCCAGAGAGGGACACGGAACUCCGGGUGGAGCGGUGAAAUGCGUAGAGAUCCGGAAGAACACCGAAGGCGAAGGCAGUGUCCUGGCUGGUUCCUGACGCUCAGGUGCGAAAGCUAGGGGAGCAAACAGGAUUAGAUACCCUGGUAGUCCUAGCCGUAAACGAUGACCACUAGGUGUGCGGAGUAUCGACCCUCUGCGUGCCGCAGUUAACACAAUAAGUGGUCCGCCUGGGGAGUACGGUCGCAA